rnacentral:rRNA from 1 species
UUGCAUAUCAAAAAGCGGAGGAAAAGAAACCAACAGGGAUUGCCUUAGUAGCGGCGAGUGAGCGGCAAAGCUCAAAUUUGAAAUCUGGCGUAUUCUGCGUCCGAGUUGUAAUUUGAAGAAGGAUACUUUGGGGUUGGCUCUUGUCUAUGUUUCUUGGAACAGAACGUCACAGAGGGUGAGAAUCCCGUGCGAUGAGAAGCCCAAUUCCGUGUAAAGUGCCUUCGAAGAGUCGAGUUGUUUGGGAAUGCAGCUCUAAGUGGGUGGUAAAUUCCAUCUAAAGCUAAAUAUUGGCGAGAGACCGAUAGCGAACAAGUACAGUGAUGGAAAGAUGAAAAGAACUUUGAAAAGAGAGUGAAAAAGUACGUGAAAUUGUUGAAAGGGAAGGGCUUGAGAUCAGACUUGGUAUUUUGUAUGUCUUGCUUUCGGGUGGGGCCUCUGCAGUUUACUGGGCCAGCAUCGGUUCGGGUGGUAGGACACAUUGCGAAGGAACGUGGCACUGCUUCGGUGGUGUGUUAUAGCCUUUGUGGAUACUGCCUGUCUGGACCGAGGACUGCGUCAUUUGACUAGGAUGCUGGCAUAAUGAUCUUAAGUCGCCCGUCUUGAAACCACGGGACCA